rnacentral:sRNA from 1 species
ACCGCCGGGGGCCAUGGACGGAGCAGUGAUGGAAGGGCCGCUCUUUUUGCAGAGUCAGCGCUUUGGGACCAAGAGGUGGAGGAAGACCUGGGCCGUGCUCUACCCGGCCAGUCCCCACGGCGUAGCGCGGCUCGAGUUCUUUGACCAUAAGGGGUCGAGCUCUGGGGGUGGCCGAGGGAGCUCGCGCCGCCUGGACUGCAAAGAUCCCAAUUCUGGGUAACGGUGCAGAGGACUGAGGCCGCCGAGCGCUGUGGCCUGCAUGGCUCCUACGUGCUGAGGGUGGAGGCUGAAAGGCUGACUCUCCUGACCGUGGGGGCCCAGAGUCAGAUACUGGAGCCACUCCUGUCCUGGCCCUACACUCUGUUGCGUCGCUAUGGCCGGGACAAGGUCAUGUUCUCUUUCGAGGCCGGCCGCCGCUGCCCCUCAGGCCCUGGAACCUUCACCUUCCAGACGGCACAGGGAAAUGACAUCUUCCAGGCAGUUGAGACUGCCAUCCACCGGCAGAAGGCCCAGGGAAAGGCCGGACAGGGGCACGAUGUUCUCAGAGCUGACUCCCAAGAAGGGGAGGUGGCAGAGGGGAAGUUGCCUUCCCCACCUGGCCCCCAGGAGCUCCUCGACAGUCCCCCAGCCCUGUAUGCUGAGCCCUUAGACUCCCUGCGCAUUGCUCCAUGCCCUUCCCAGGACUCCCUAUACUCAGACCCCUUGGACAGCACGUCUGCUCAGGCAGGAGAGGGAGUACAACGGAAGAAACCUCUCUAUUGGGACUUGUAUGAGCAUGCGCAGCAGCAGUUGCUGAAGGCCAAGCUGACAGACCCCAAAGAGGACCCCAUCUAUGAUGAACCUGAGGGCCUGGCCC